rnacentral:pre_miRNA from 1 species
CCUGGUUAGUUUUGCUGGUUUGCUUUCAGCUUUUCUCUAUACUGCUGUGCAAAUCCAUGCAAAACUGAUCAUGGA